UUUAUUGGUAGGACUUUAAGAACAGAGAAUCUGCGAAGAUGCUACCAAGCUGUAGACAUUUCUUUCAUGUGCACUGCAUAGACGAAUGGCUUCUCCGGCAGGGAACCUGCCCAAUGUGUAGAAGAGAGAUCUGAAUGGAACUGGACGACGAGGAGAAAACUGAUGGUGCAAGUUUGUAAAAAAACCCGGAGAGAAGAAAUAGGAAAUAGGUCAGAUCCAAAUGAAAAUGUCCCAGUAAUGCUUCUAUCCUUAACUUUGUUGUAGAUAAAUUUUGAAACAAAGAACUUUGAUCUCUCGUAUCUAAUGUAAGAUAGAAGUAGAAUCGAUUCUCGAAUGACCAAAUCAUCAUAGUACAAGUGGAAGUGCUCUAUGAAUAUAUGUAGUACUUGUGAAUACUGCAAAUUGUUUCUUUUAAAUUCUGUAUCUCCUUUUUUAUCGAAGUUGUUACGUGUUGUCAUACUUGGCCAACCUACUUGGGCUUAUGGCUCACUCAAUCCGAACCACGUGACACUCCAACCGAGGUGGCAUGUAUAGCCGAAGCCCAUAUACUGAGGCCUGUGAAAGUAGCUGAAGUCCAUACGCCGAGGCCCAUAAACCGAAGUCAUGAUGCGAGAUCACCGAAAAGAUAGCCGAAGCCCUAAAGCGGAAGUAUUACGUGAAAACGUCAUGAUCACUUCUCCCAAGAGAUCUUCUACAUAAAGAUCUUGUUUGAAUGAUUGAUGAAACGUUUAUCAUAAGUACAUAUGUCAAGUCUUAUCACUAGAAAAGGAGUUCUGUACAAGCAAUAAAUGCGCAGCAAGCUAGCAAGUUAAGGAUGAUGUCUAGGAUUAGAUGUUUGAAUUAAGGAGAUGAGGCCACGUGUCACCUUAUCUAAGGGCUGCCAUUUCACAUGUAAUACUGUAAAUACUUCCAUUGUAUAACAUUGAAGGGCUAAUGUAAGAAUCAAUACAAGAACCACAUUUUACUCUCUCUUUCAUAUUAUCUUACAACCCAAUACAAGUUCAUACAUAUUUACAUGUAUAGUCAUGAGCACUGAUUGGUAAUUAUUGUUCAAUCGGAUUAAGAACAUCCCGACGGAUUUCGAACGUUCUCGUCCCGCGUCAUUGAGCUACUCCCACGCCCCUGAUUUGUUCGUUCUAGACUGUACACGUGUCUCAGCGUGUAGGAUCUUCGCUCACGUGUGCGCGGGUGGGUCCGACGUCUGUUGGCAACACUUUUUGGGAUCAACAGAUUGUCGCCGUCUGUGGGAAACCAUACCAUAACCACGAACAACUUUGUGGUGAAAGCUUAUUGAAUGACGUUUGGGCACCCCCCUUGAAAAAGGAUUUGUUCUUGAAGAAGAAUAAGAGGAAGCCCCACAACUUAGUAAAAUCUGAAGUCAGACGAAAAUAAAAUGAGUUCAAAUGAAGACACACCCCACAGGAGGGUAAGAGAAAACGCAAAUGUACCUCCUCCACCCGCUACCCCAGCAGCCUGGCAAAGACUUCACCACCACAAAAGAAGAGGUGAAAUACGGGCAACGGCCCGACUGUCAAGAGAAAUGGCUGCCAACAUGAGAGAUAUUGCUAAUCAAAACUUGGUUAUGAGGGAGCUCAUGGCCCACAUGCAAGGCCAGGGGGGCUUUUCCAUUCCUCCAUAUACCCCUCAGGGGCACUACCAGCAAGAAGACGAAAUUCAAAGUCAUAGAACUGCCUCGCCGGACUAUAGUUGAGGUAGAAGCCCAUUUGAAAGGGAAGUAGAAGUUGAUGUUUCCUCCAACUACGCUUCUUGAGGUUACAACCCCAGUAUAGGUAGUUUUAGAUGAUAAGUUGAAUGAAAGAUAAAACUAAAUGGCUUAUUUAAUUUCACUUAUCAUUUAAUGACACAUUAACGUCACUUAAACUGGGGUUGUGACCCCAGUGAGCUCAAAUAGCAUUACUCUAUGAUAAAUGAAUGGAAAUAGUUUUUGAUACGUUGAAAGCAUUAAUUUGUCAUUGAACAUUGGGAGAACGUUUCCGGUGGCGCUAAUAUGUGGUUUGGUGAAACCGUUAAUACCUUUCAGGUUGCACUAAUAUGCAGUCUCGUAAACGGGAAGAUAUUCAUGGAAUGGGUGAGUCCCGCCGUGCUGAAAGCUUAUCAAUGGCAGGUGAGUAAUAAAUUUUCUGUCUAACAUUAUUAGUGUUAUGUGUUCCUCGGAUUUAGAAUUGUUAGCUGAGCGGUCGAGCUUUUUAUUCCAUUUAAUUGUUAAUAAGACCGAUGAUUGGAUGUUCUAGAUUAGCACUAUGGAAACUAGUUUGAGGGAGAUUUCGGACAUUUUUUAGGUCAAUACAAGUAGAGGAUUAUCUCAAGAUAUAAUUCAGAAGCUACCAAUUUACGAAUUCUAUUCCCCAAGGACGACAUCUUGUCACGAGACAAAUUGUUCAAUUUGCUUACAGGUGAGUUCUUCAUUGAUCUAUUAAGAGCAACAUUAUGGGAAGAGAUGAUUUUGUGGGUUGUGAUUGAACUAUACGUCCUACGUGGGGACCUAAAUUAUGAGGGGAGGGGGCCUAAAUCAUACUACCUAAUUCCUUCGUAGUUUUCAAUUAGAUCGAUCACAAUUGACGAUAGAACUAUCUAAUCCACCUGAUUUAGACUGGAAGAUGGAUGCACAGUUUGUUAGUCAUCUCAACGACUCAACCCAUUUUUCGUCCCACUACAUAAAUAGACAUGGACCAACCAUUCUCAACCUUCUGGAAACCAACCCAAGUUGCCAUUUGCUCUCCCAAUUACUGCACAAGCCUAUUAUUUUUAUUCUUGUUUGCAGUUUUUUUACUGUUGUCACUUUCUUUAUUGGUAGGACUUUAAGAACAGAGAAUCUGCGAAGAUGCUACCAAGCUGUAGACAUUUCUUUCAUGUGCACUGCAUAGACGAAUGGCUUCUCCGGCAGGGAACCUGCCCAAUGUGUAGAAGAGAGAUCUGAAUGGAACUGGACGACGAGGAGAAAACUGAUGGUGCAAGUUUGUAAAAAAACCCGGAGAGAAGAAAUAGGAAAUAGGUCAGAUCCUAAUGAAAAUGUCCCAGUAAUGCUUC
rnacentral:lncRNA from 1 species